ensembl:lncRNA
AGGAAAGGCGCUGGCUUCUAAAAACAGCAAUUGAGGUGACUACUGUGUUGAAAGAUUUGGCUGAAUGCACUGUUUUAACCCAUGAGCCAGAAAUGUGUUGAGGAAUUAACUGGUUAUGGAGUAAUUCUGGAAGAUCUUAUCAGCAAGUGAUUCUGAAGUCAUCUGGACAAUGUGUGAACUCCCACACUUGAUCUGGCAGCCCCGCGGCACUGCAGCUGGGGCAGUGGCAAAAUCCAAGACACUGCUCGCAGAAUUGAUGGUCCCCCCUGACUGCGUGAAGAAGCUUGUCCUGUCCAAAACCUGACAUCUAGAAAUAGUAAAAUGCAAAAUAAAUGAAGCUGCACUUAUCUGGCAAGUACAGCAUCCAAGAGGCUAUGAGAGUGCGGUAAAAACCAACCACACCCCUGUUCUGAAGCAGAGGAGGAGUCAUUGUUCAGAAGUGAAGAGACUCAGUGUUCUGGAAUUGUGGCCAGUGGAACUAGACCUGCACUGCUGUAAUGUUGUGUUCCAAAACCCCAGAUCUUUCCAAAUCUCAGAUAAAUUACUGUAUGAUCCUCCGGUGCAUCAUUUUCCUUGUUGAUAAAUGGCAUAUGAGAAUAAUACUAACAAUAAUAAUAGUGGAUUAAGGGUCAUUCUGACAGAAGAGAUGCA